rnacentral:rRNA from 1 species
AGAUUGAACGCUGGCGGCAGGCCUAACACAUGCAAGUCGAGCGGCAGCACGGGUACUUGUACCUGGUGGCGAGCGGCGGACGGGUGAGUAAUGCCUAGGAAUCUGCCUGAUAGUGGGGGAUAACGCUCGGAAACGGACGCUAAUACCGCAUACGUCCUACGGGAGAAAGCAGGGGACCUUCGGGCCUUGCGCUAUCAGAUGAGCCUAGGUCGGAUUAGCUAGUUGGUGGGUAAUGGCUCA